UGAGAGCGCGGUGACGGCGGCUGGGAUGUUCCGAAAGGCCCGGCGGGUGAACGUGCGCAAGCGGAACGACUCGGAGGAGGAGGAGCGGGAGCGCGAUGAGGAGCAGGAGCCGCCACCGUUGCUGCCCCCGCCGGCCUCGGGAGAAGAGCCCGGCCCUGGCGGCGGCGACCGGGCCCCCGCGGGGGAGUCGCUCCUGGGCCCGGGGCCGCUGCCGCCGCCGCCCUCCGCGCACCACCCGGGCCUCGGCGCUGAGGCCGGGGGCGGCAUCUCCGGCGGCGCGGAGCCCGGCAAUGGGCUGAAGCCGCGCAAGAGGCCUCGCGAGAACAAAGAGGUGCCCAGGGCCAGCCUGCUCAGCUUCCAAGACGAGGAGGAAGAAAAUGAAGAAGUGUUCAAAGUAAAGAAAUCAAGUUACAGCAAAAAGAUAGUUAAAUUGCUUAAGAAAGAAUAUAAAGAAGACCUUGAAAAAUCAAAGAUCAAGACAGAACUCAACACAGCAGCUGACAGUGACCAGCCUCUGGACAAAACGUGUCAUGCUAAGGACACAAACCCAGAAGAUGGAGUUGUCAUCAGCGAGCACGGUGAGGAUGAAAUGGACAUGGAGAGCGAGAAGGAGGAGGAGAAGCCCAAGGCCGGGGGCGCCUUCUCCAAUGCUCUGUCUUCCCUGAACGUGCUCCGCCCAGGAGAAAUCCCAGAUGCAGCUUUCAUACAUGCUGCAAGAAAGAAGCGACAACUGGCCCGGGAGCUGGGCGACUUCACGCCUCACGACAGUGAGCCUGGCAAAGGCCGCCUCGUCCGCGAGGACGAGAAUGAUGCCAGCGACGAUGAGGACGAUGAUGAGAAGCGCCGGAUCGUUUUUUCUGUGAAGGAAAAGUCACAAAGACAAAAGAUCGCUGAGGAGAUAGGUAUUGAGGGGAGUGACGAUGACGCGUUAGUAACUGGAGAGCAAGACGAGGAGCUCAGCCGCUGGGAGCAGGAGCAGAUUAGAAAAGGAAUUAACAUCCCUCAGGUUCAAGCAAGUCAGCCCAGUGAAGUGAAUGUGUACUACCAGAACACCUACCAGACAAUGCCUUACGGUGCAUCCUAUGGCAUACCGUAUAGUUACACAGCCUAUGGAUCAUCAGAUGCCAAGUCUCAAAAAACAGAUAAUACAGUCCCUUUCAAAACUCCCAGUAAUGAGAUGGCUCCCGUUACUAUUGAUUUGGUAAAGAGACAGCUUAAAGACAGGUUGGACUCCAUGAAAGAAUUGCACAAAACCAAUCAACAGCAGCAUGAAAAACAUCUGCAAAGCCGAGUGGACUCCACCAGGGCUAUUGAGAGAUUAGAAGGGUCUUCUGGGGGUAUUGGUGAACGGUAUAAAUUUUUGCAAGAAAUGCGAGGGUAUGUCCAAGACUUGCUUGAGUGUUUCAGUGAAAAGGUGCCACUGAUUAAUGAACUUGAAUCAGCAAUACAUCAGCUGUACAAACAGCGAGCUUCCCGCCUUGUCCAAAGACGACAAGAUGAUAUUAAAGAUGAAUCUUCGGAGUUUUCAAGCCAUUCAAGUCAGUCCAUCUUGAAGAUAAAGCUUUGAUGGCACCAAAUCUUGAUUCCUUUGGACGUGAUCGGGCACUUUAUCAAGAACAUGCAAAACGUCGGAUUGCAGAGCGGGAAGCCAGGAGGACUCGCCGUAGGCAAGCCAGAGAGCAAACCGGUCAGAUGGCAGAUCACCUGGAAGGCCUGUCCAGUGAUGAUGAAGAGACGUCUACAGAUAUUACUAAUUUCAAUCUGGAGAAAGAUCGAAUUUUGAAAGAGUCUAGCAAAGUUUUUGAAGAUGUCCUUGAGAGUUUCUAUUCAAUUGACUGCAUUAAAGCACAGUUUGAAGCAUGGCGUUCAAAAUACUACAUGUCCUAUAAGGAUGCUUAUAUUGGUCUUUGUCUGCCCAAACUGUUCAACCCCCUAAUCAGACUUCAGCUUCUCACCUGGACUCCUCUUGAGGCAAAAUGCCGUGACUUUGAAACCAUGCUGUGGUUUGAAUCUCUGCUGUUCUAUGGCUGUGAAGACCGAGAGCAGGAGAAGGAUGAGGCUGACGUUGCUCUGCUGCCCACCAUUGUGGAGAAGGUCAUUCUCCCCAAGCUGACAGUGAUAGCUGAAACCAUGUGGGAUCCCUUUUCUACAACACAGACUUCAAGGAUGGUUGGAAUCACAAUGAAAUUAAUAAAUGGCUACCCCUCAGUAGUCAAUGCAGACAAUAAAAACACGCAGGUAUACCUUAAAGCUCUUUUACUGAGGAUGAGAAGAACUUUAGAUGAUGAUGUAUUUAUGCCCCUAUAUCCCAAAAAUGUCUUAGAAAAUAAAAAUUCUGGGCCUUACUUAUUUUUUCAACGACAGUUUUGGUCGUCUGUUAAGCUAUUGGGAAAUUUUCUUCAGUGGUAUGGCAUUUUCUCAAACAAAACUCUUCAGGAGUUAUCAAUAGAUGGCUUGUUAAACAGAUACAUCCUUAUGGCUUUUCAGAACUCAGAAUACGGAGAUGACAGCAUCAGAAAAGCCCAAAAUGUAAUCAACUGUUUCCCUAAACAGUGGUUUGUGAAUCUGAAAGGAGAAAGAACUAUUUCUCAGUUAGAAAAUUUUUGCCGAUAUCUUGUACAUUUAGCAGAUACAAUUUACAGGAACAGUAUUGGGUGCUCUGAUGUGGAAAAAAGAAAUGCAAGGGAAAAUAUAAAACAGAUAGUAAAACUUCUUGCAAGCGUUCGGGCUUUGGAUCACGCUAUAUCUGUUGCAAGUGACCACAAUGUGAAGGAAGUCAAGUCUCUGAUUGAAGGAAAAUAGAUCUGCGACCAAAAAGUGUUUGCUUUGCUGCCAUUUCCAGUGUGUACAUUUUGUAUAUAUGUAAAGUUUCUUAAACUGUAAUAUACUGAUUCUUGUUUUAAUACAAAAACAUUAUAUUAAUACCGUGUCCUUAAAUGUGAUUUCUUGAGAAUGAAAGGAACUCAGAUUAUUUCUAGGAGUCUAUGGAUGUUUCUUUACUGCCUGUCAUAUUUUGUUUAUGGAAGUAUUUUAUAUGGUCAUUAAAUUAACUUCGUUUACGUAUGCUCUAUAAAUGAUGAGUGUUUAGUGUAAGUUGUAUAAUUUUGCGUGUCUGUGUGUGUGUGUGUGUGUGUGUGUGUGUGUGUGUGCAUGUAUAUUUAUACCACCAUGGAUUUUCAUGCUGGAAAUUUUGCAGUGUUUUUCUACAGAGGAGGCUUUUUAACAGCAGGAACUUACCCAAUAGCAAUCAUCUUAGGGAAAUACUGCACUGCAGCAGCUGAAGGGCUGGCAGGUGAUGACCUUCACCCCCCACAGUGACUGCUGUCACUGUAGUUGUGCUGCCUUAAAAUGAAAACUGAAAUAAGACUUUGUCGUUGAGUGAGUGUGGGACUUCUGGGAGUCUGCCCUGGAGGCAGCUGUGGGUUUAAUACGAGCCUGAGGCGACAUAUGCAGUAGUGUGGGGUAGGAUGAGCCACAAACUAACUGCAUGGCCUGGGCUGACUGACCUUUCUCACUAUUGUCUUCCCUGCCCAGCUAUAGAUAUGCAUUUCUUUAGUCUAUCCUGUUUUGAAUCCCACAUAUGUGAGUUAUAUAUGCAAUAAAGAACAUGCCUUGCUGAUCAGACACACCCAGGCAAUUUACUAUCCAUGGUAUUCUGUAAUGUUUCUACCACACUGUAAAUACUCAGAGAAACUUGUUUUAAGGUUGAUGCUUUCUGAUUCUGUGAUUUUCAGAAGAGUAACUUUUCAGAAAUUCAGGACUAUCGUUUGAAAAAUAUAUAUGUAAUUAAGCUUUAGCCAAGCAUUAAAUUAAUUUUUAAACACGC